rnacentral:rRNA from 1 species
AACGCGAAGAACCUUACCAAGGUUUGACAUGCAGGGAAAAGCCGUAGAGAUAUGGUGUCCGUAAGGGUCCUGCACAGGUGGUGCAUGGCUGUCGUCAGCUCGUGUCGUGAGAUGUUGGGUUAAGUCCCGCAACGAGCGCAACCCUCGUCCUAUGUUGCCAGCGGGUAAUGCCGGGGACUCAUAGGAGACUGCCGGGGUCAACUCGGAGGAAGGUGGGGAUGAGGUCAAGUCAUCAUGCCCCUUAAGUCUUGGGCUGCAAACAUGCUACAAUGGCCGGUACAGAGGGCUGCGAAACCGCAAGGUGGAGCGAAUCUCAAAAAGCCGGUCUCAGUUCGGAUUGGGGUCUGCAACUCGACCCCAUGAAGUCGGAGUCGCUAGUAAUCGCGAAUCAGCAACGUCGCGGUGAAUACGUUCCCGGGCCUUGUA